rnacentral:lncRNA from 10 species
CCACCCUCAGGCCAGUGAUGGCUGACUUGAGGCCUCAGCUUGACUGCAUUCAGGGACACUGCAAUAGCUGGUAGAGCAUUAUUUAUUCUCAGCCCUUCAGACGACACGCAGCCCAUUCCUUUUCUGCUAAAAGGAAAACCCAGGUGGUUUUGCUUUUGAUUUUAAUGCUUGGGCUGCCCCAGGUGUAUAUGUGAGAGUAUUUCUCGGAAGACACUGGCCUGUGAGUGGGUGAACUGAGUGGAGAAGCUCCACCCUCAAUGCAGGCAGGCACCAUUUAAUCAGCUGGGGGCCUGGAGAGAAAAGGCAGAGGAAGGGCAAAUUAUUUUUCUCUUUCUUUUGGAGCCAGGAUGUUUUUCUCCUUCCAUUGGAUGUCAGAAAGCUAGGUUCUCCAGCUUUUGGACUCUGGGAUUUGCACCAGAGCCUGCCCCCGGCAACCCCGACUCAGGCUUUUGGCCUUGAAAUGAGUUAUGCCAUCAGCUUAUUUAUUUGUAAGGCCUUCGGACUUGAACUGUGCCACAUCCUCAGCUUUCCAGAUUCUCCAGUUCGGACGACCCUUUGUGGAACUUCUCAGCCUCCAUGAUCAUAUAAGUCGACAUUUUCACUGGACCGAUUGGACUGAAAAGGCAAGAUUGAAUGAGCAGGUAACUAAUUCUUCAGCUCGAUCAAGUUGUGCAGUCUUGGCUUCAGAGACUGUUGCUGUUUUAUCUCUCUCCCAUGUCCGAGAAAACCAGUAUGCUGGCAUGGUGUUACAGCACUGUAAUUAAAUCACAUGACUUUCAUAGGGACAUGGGCAGAGAAAUUCUAGGCAGAAAAGGGCAGGUCCCUGACAGAACCCCACCUUCAAGCUGAAAAGCCUAAAACCCACAGCCCAAAGGGAGAACUUAUAUCCCUGUUUUCCUGCUCGAAUGUAGCCUUUUCCUAAACCACCCGUGGCGCACCCCACCCCGUAUCCUGUGCCUGUAAAUACCCCAGACUCAACCAGCAGAGAGGACAAGCAGCUGGACAUUGGGGACUACGGCUAGAUGUCGGAGAGAAGUGGCUUGACAUCAGAGGGACAGCUAGAUGGCGUAACUUCAGAUAAGAAUCCAGCUGGAGAUGGACUUUAGAAGAUUACCUACCCACCUCAUCCCCAUUUCUGCUCCCCUUCCCAUUGAGAGCCAUUUUCACUGGCAAUAAAAUCCUCUGCAUAUACCAUCCUUCAAAUUUAUUUGUGUGACCUCAUUUUUCCUGGAUGCCGGACAAGAGCUCAGGAGCCACAAAUGCAGAUACAAAAGGCUGUCACACUGGACCUUUGCCCUCGCUGACAGAGAGCAUCUGCCUCAUGCCAAAAGACAGAGGGCCCACAGAGCUGUUAACACUUAAGCUGUCCAUGGACAGAAGAUCUUAAAAAGCACUGUAACACACACUCUGGGACUUCAGGAGUCACAGUCACCCCCCGCCUGGAUAUUGCCUUGGGGCCUGCAUGAAGUUCACUCCUGCAGAUGCCCAAAAAAUGCUCACUCCAGCUCCUGUACCCCCUUACCUGUGAGCUCCCUCCCAUGAGGGUGGAACACAGUGGGUCUGAGUGAGUGGAGUUUGAUCCUGCUAGCAGCAAAACAGCCAGCUCAUUCCAGUGCUCAUGCAUUCUAGUUUCUGCCUCAUUCUCUCGUGUGCUCCCGCCUGUGAGGAGUUGACAGUGGCAGGCUGAGUAAACAAGGCACCCCUGUCACAAGUCCUAUGAACGGGUCAGGAAAAUAUCCUGCUUCAGUUUUUCUGAAAUUUUUGAGGAUGGAAUGCCAUUUGUUGCUGUAUUUUUUUCUCCCCCUAUGGAGUUAGUGUCUGUGUCAUUAGUUAAUAUAAAUUAAUUUAUCACAGAAAAAAUAUUUUGUUGACAAAGGUAUGGUCUGGACAAAUUAUUUAAACAAUUCAAGUCUCAGUUUCCUCCUAUGCCGUGUGGGAAAUAUUUUAUUUCCUUUUCAGUGUUGUUGUACAGAAGACAAUAUAUGUAAACCAACCAAAUUCAAUGCCCUGAAUCUAAAUAUGUAGUGUUAUUAUUUUAGUAAAUAAAUGUGUUGUUAAUAAGGCACUACUACAGUAAAUGAAUUGAAUAUCUAUUUUAAUAAAAAUUGUA